AGUGAACGCUGGCGGUAGGCCUAACACAUGCAAGUCGAACGGCAGCACAGUAAGAGCUUGCUCUUACGGGUGGCGAGUGGCGGACGGGUGAGGAAUACAUCGGAAUCUACUUUUUCGUGGGGGAUAACGUAGAGAAACUUACGCUAAUACCGCAUACGACCUACGGGUGAAAGUAGGGGAUCUUCGGACCUUGCGCGAUUGAAUGAGCCGAUGUCGGAUUAGCUAGUUGGCGGGGUAAAGGCCCACCAAGGCGACGAUCCGUAGCUGGUCUGAGAGGAUGAUCAGCCACACUGGAACUGAGACACGGUCCAGACUCCUACGGGAGGCAGCAGUGGGGAAUAUUGGACAAUGGGCGCAAGCCUGAUCCAGCCAUACCGCGUGGGUGAAGAAGGCCUUCGGGUUGUAAAGCCCUUUUGUUGGGAAAGAAAAGCAGCAGGUUAAUACCCCGCUGUUCUGACGGUACCCAAAGAAUAAGCACCGGCUAACUUCGUG
rnacentral:rRNA from 1 species